GGUGAACGCUGGCGGCGUGCCUAAUACAUGCAAGUCGAGCGAACAGACGAGGAGCUUGCUCCUUCGACGUUAGCGGCGGACGGGUGAGUAACACGUAGGUAACCUACCUAUAAGACUGGGAUAACUUCGGGAAACCGGAGCUAAUACCGGAUAAUAUUUCGAACCGCAUGGUUCGAUAGUGAAAGAUGGCUUUGCUAUCACUUAUAGAUGGACCUGCGCCGUAUUAGCUAGUUGGUAAGGUAACGGCUUACCAAGGCAACGAUACGUAGCCGACCUGAGAGGGUGAUCGGCCACACUGGAACUGAGACACGGUCCAGACUCCUACGGGAGGCAGCAGUAGGGAAUCUUCCGCAAUGGGCGAAAGCCUGACGGAGCAACGCCGCGUGAGUGAUGAAGGUCUUCGGAUCGUAAAACUCUGUUAUUAGGGAAGAACAAAUGUGUAAGUAACUGUGCACGUCUUGACGGUACCUAAUCAGAAAGCCACGGCUAACUACGUG
rnacentral:rRNA from 1 species